rnacentral:rRNA from 1 species
AUAGAGGUGGCAAGCGUUGUUCGGAAUUACUGGGCGUAAAGGGCGCGUAGGCGGCCAUCUAAGUCAGACGUGAAAUCCCUCGGCUUAACCGGGGAACUGCGUCUGAUACUGGAUGGCUUGAGUUUGGGAGAGGGAUGCGGGAUUCCAGGUGUAGCGGUGAAAUGCGUAGAUAUCUGGAGGAACACCGGUGGCGAAGGCGGCAUCCUGGACCAACACUGACACUGAUGAGCGAAAGCCAGGGGAGCAAACGGGA